CGCUGAGGGGAUGUGACGUCAGUGAGGCGCGUCCCCGCUCCGCUCACAGCAGUCGUUGAAUGUAUCGAUGAGAAACGGAGAAAGUCAGCGAGCGUCACAUCAUCCACAGACACGCGAGCGUUGGAUCGGGACUGCCACACACACUCAGCAUGUCGGACUUCCACGACUCUCUGGUGGACGUCUCCAGCGACAGCUUCUGGGAGGUGGGGAACUACAAGCGCGUGGUGAAGCGCGUGGACGACGGGAACCGGCUGUGCAACGACCUGAUGAACUGCCUUCAUGAGCGAGCGCGCAUCGAGAAGAGCUACUCGCAGCAGCUGAGCGAGUGGGCCAAACGCUGGAGACAGCUGGUGGAG